UACAGAGGUGGCAAGCGUUGUUCGGAAUUACUGGGCGUAAAGGGCGCGUAGGCGGCCAUCUAAGUCAGACGUGAAAUCCCCCGGCUUAACCUGGGAACUGUGUCUGAUACUGGACGGCUUGAGUAUGGGAGAGGGAUGUAGAAUUCCAGGUGUAGCGGUGAAAUGCGUAGAUAUCUGGAGGAAUACCGGUGGCGAAGGCGGCAUCCUGGACCAUUACUGACGCUGAGGCGCGAAAGCUAGGGGAGCAAACGGG
rnacentral:rRNA from 1 species